AAAUCCCACGGCUCAACCGUGGGGCCUGCUGGGGGUACUGCGGGCCUUGGGACCGGGAGAGGCGGAGGGUACUCCUGGGGUAGGGGUGAAAUCCUAUAAUCCCAGGAGGACCGCCAGUGGCGAAGGCGCUCCGCUGGAACGGGUCCGACGGUGAGGGACGAAGGCCAGGGGAGCGAACCGGAUUAGAUACCCGGGUAGUCCUGGCUGUAAAGGAUGCGGGCUAGGUGUCGGGCGAGCUUCGUGCUCGCCCGGUGCCGAAGGGAAGCCGUUAAGCCCGCCGCCUGGGGAGUACGGCCGCAAGGCUGAAACUUAAAGGAAUUGGCGGGGGAGCACUACAAGGGGUGGAGCGUGCGGUUUAAUUGGAUUCAACGCCGGGAACCUCACCGGGGGCGACGGCAGGAUGAAGGCCAGGCUGAAGGUCUUGCCGGACACGCCGAGAGGAGGUGCAUGGCCGCCGUCAGCUCGUACCGUGAGGCGUCCACUUAAGUGUGGUAACGAGCGAGACCCGCGCCCCCAGUUGCCAGUCCUCCCCGCUGGGGAGGAGGCACUCUGGGGGGACCGCCGGCGAUAAGCCGGAGGAAGGAGCGGGCGACGGUAGGUCAGUAUGCCCCGAAACCCCCGGGCUACACGCGCGCUACAAUGAGCGGGACAAUGGGAUCCGACCCCGAAAGGGGAAGGUAAUCCCCUAAACCCGCUCCCAGUUCGGAUCGCGGGCUGCGACUCGCCCGCGUGAAGCUGGAAUCCCUGGUACCCGCGUGUCAUCAUCGCGCGGCGAAUACGUCCCUGCUCCUUGCACACACCGCCCGUCACUCCACCCGAGCGGGGUCUGGAUGAGGCCUGGUCUCCCUUCGGGGAGGCCGGGUCGAGUCUGGGCUCCGUGAGGGGGGAGAAGUCGUAACAAGGUAGCCGUAGGGGAACCUACGGCUCGAUCACCUCCU
rnacentral:rRNA from 1 species